AACGAACGCUGGCGGCAUGCCUAACACAUGCAAGUCGAACGAGACCUUCGGGUCUAGUGGCGCACGGGUGCGUAACGCGUGGGAACCUGCCCUUAGGUUCGGAAUAACUCCCCGAAAGGGGUGCUAAUACCGGAUAAUGUCUUCGGACCAAAGAUUUAUCGCCUUUGGAUGGGCCCGCGUUGGAUUAGCUAGUUGGUAGGGUAAAAGCCUACCAAGGCGACGAUCCAUAGCUGGUCUGAGAGGAUGAUCAGCCACACUGGGACUGAGACACGGCCCAGACUCCUACGGGAGGCAGCAGUGGGGAAUAUUGGACAAUGGGCGAAAGCCUGAUCCAGCAAUGCCGCAUGAGUGAUGAAGGCCUUAGGGUUGUAAAGCUCUUUUAACCGGGAUGAUAAUGACAGUACCGGGAGAAUAAGCUCCGGCUAACUCCGUG
rnacentral:rRNA from 1 species